GCACAGAGGCCUGGCCAGGAGGCAGUGGUGCCGUGCCAGAAGCCGCAGCUGCCACAUUUUACCUCAGCAGCUGCCAGGCAGGCCGGCAGCGCAGAGCACUGAGGGGCACCACCUGACCUCCAUUUUCUGUGCCCUAUCACCCACCCCUGCCCCAGCUCUCUGCAUUUACUCAUCGGUAUAAUUUAUUAUCCACAGCUGCCUUUACUGAUGAAUUUUCUAUUUCCCCCUGCUCUGGCCUGGCUAGUGCUUUUUGUUCUGCUCUCAGAGCUUCUGUGAGAAAACAGGGGUGGAAGCAGUGGCUCGUGGUAGUUCCCGCUCUUGGCCCUCCUCAGGCGUUGAGGGCUUAUGAUGUUCACCUGUACAACCUGCCCUGAUCAUGGCUUCAAAUGCUUUGCCUUCAUAGAGCAACGGGCUUACACCACGGUCGGAAGUGGAACGUGUUGAUGCCAUCAAUAAGAGUCUGCUACUACAGUCAGAUGUAAGCAGUUCUCUAGGACUUCUGUAAAUGGGAAUUUCACUUUCUGAUAGUUUUUUAAAAGCAAAUAUUAUUCUUCCUGGCUUGAUCUGAGCAUAGUGAUAACUUUGGGAAGAGCAGGCGUUAUUCUCAUGACCCAGUUCGGUCUGGCUUGGGAAGAUUGUUUGCAGCCAAUUUGGAACUCGCAUGAUUUGCCCUGCGAGCGGCAGCCACGUCCAUCUGUUUCAUCGAGUAAAGAGCCGAAACGAAUGCUGAUGGUGAUGGCUAAAGGCGGUACAGCAAUGCACAACUCAGCGACCGGUCUGAACAAGAGGGUUGCAUGGACAUGCUAAGGAGGCAGCAGCUCAAAGCAGCAUGACGUCUGGACAGCUGGGAUGUGAAUGAGGAGUGAAUAUGGUGGUGUAACUGCACAUCAUGGGUACACGAUGCAGAGAUGGCUAUGGAAAAUACUCACUUGUUCACUUGAUUCUGCCUCCUUUUGGCUUCAGCACCCCUUUGGUGCAUAGCGGGGAAGUAGGUAUGUGUGUGCAGUGGGAGGUGUGAUGCUCACAGACAUGGGCACUUUAUCAGUGCACAACUGUACCAGACAGCUACUGAGUAGACUGAUGGACAACCAAUACAAAUGGUUCAUUAAACAGUUAAUGAGCCCAGGCUCUGCUGCCCGCCCUGUUGCCACCAAUGGAAGCUUUGCGCUUAACAAGCAGGGAAGGAAGGGAUGGCAUUUGAUGUUGGCUUCUAAUUGUUUGUCAGUCACUUGGGAUCGAGUUAGAAAUGAUGCAUUGGGGAGCAUCCUUUUCCCUUGACAAUCCCUUCAUGGACAUCAGGGCUUGCAAGGAGCAAGAUGCGGUGUUCAGGGGGGAGAUUUGGGGCAUGAACACCACCAGUGGUUGACGUUUCGUACCACGUUGAGGUACCUCAGCUGAUGGCCGUGCGCCCAAUGCCCUGCGGGUCUCCUAUUGAGGCCCAACCCUGGUGCCAGCCCCUGGUCCCCCCCCCACCGGCCCCGCCCCGCGCUCCGCCCACCUGUGACGUCACCGUGAGGAGGGGCUUCUCCUCCGCGGACUCCUCCCUCGGCAUCUCCUUCAUCACCAUGGCCACAGCCUUAUCGGCCGACCUAGCGCCUUUCCCCUACAACAGCGAAACCAACAAGGGCCUGGUCAGCGCCCGCGGGGCUGGGGGGCUCCAGCCGGCCUCCCCCAGGGCCCUGAAACACUGCCGGGAGUUGGCGAGUGGGGUCCUGGCGGGUCACUGGGGCUCGUGCUGCCCUAGUGGGGAAGUGACCCGCGGGGCCCGGGGUGUUGACGCCUCUGGGAGCAGUGCGUGUAAUUAACCGCGCUGCCUGGCUUUCCUGGUGGUGGACGGAGCCAGAUCCUGCCGUCAUAGGCAUUACUGCACUUCUUCCCAAAACGUCCUUGUUACUGAACGUAAUGCAAGGACUUCUUAAACUUAAUUUCCUUAAAAUUCACCUAAUACACUACAUAUUCAAGAGAAACAAAAUAAUUAACAACCAAUUUAAUAUUUUAGCCAAAUAAAAUGCACUAAUGUUGGGUCAUGCUCUUCAUUUAAAAAGGGUAUUUAUCUUGAACCCACCGCGCUGUCUUCUGAUCUCUUUGACUCUUGCAAGCAGCAGUGUCUGAGUGUACUCAAGAAGCAUAGCAGCAGCACUGCUCAGCGUUAUGCCAGUGACCAUCGCCAUGUCCUUACUGUGGUACUCAUAAAGCUCCCAUUGACUUCAGUGGAAGCUUUAGCAGUGCAAAGACAGCAGGAUCUGGCUCCAUAAAAGCACUGUUUUCCACUACACUUAAAGUAUUCCAACACUUAAAAACCCCUUCUGUUAAUAGACUUUACUACCCCGUCAUAUUAUAAUAGAAUUACUUUCACUAGUGCUGUAUUUCAUGUCCAAUAAAAUAUACGUACACUGAACUAUACGGUGUUUCAUAAACAUUUCAUCAAUUGCAUGUAAAAUCAUUACAUACUAUUGCAAUUUUAGAACAAAUUUUAACUGACAGGUCAAUGCUAGAUUUGCUUGCUUGUGCAAUGCUUCAGUUACCCUACAGAGAGUUCUUUGCAUGCUGCAAGAAAUUCUUGGAGCAGAAGUGUCAUGAAUUGUAAGCAUGCUGGAGCUGUGGUGCCUUUGAUAUCCAAAGAACCUCAAAGUCAUUGUGAAUUUCAUUAAACUAUAUUCAAUGAAAGUUACUUAUUAUUGCUGAGUAUAUCAAAGGUUCUUGGUCAGUUAUGUAUUUAGUUGGUUCAUAAUUCAUAUGAUGUAUUUCAGGUCUAUGAAGAUCAUUUCUUGUAUGAUGUGGAGCUAUCGUUAGCUAACACUGUUAACAUGCUAUUUGUUUUUUUUAUAACACAUAGUCCUUUCGUGCUGAGUGCUAGAACAAGGUAGUUUAUCAGCUAGAAAGGAUGCAUUGGAAAGCAUGCAGUGCUUUUUAUUUCUUGCAGAGUAAAAAACCCACCAAAGCAAAGGUCAGGUCACUUUUUUGAAGACAGAGCCACUUUUUCUUCAAGGUUUCACCUACUGCCUGAAAAGAGUCAUGAUACUCAUAUUAGUGCCUGCUGUUAACCUUUAGUAAACAACUCUGCAAAACCCUGGGAAUGGUUGAUACCAUACACAACACAUCUCGUCAGUUUAAAGUGGCUAGAGCAUGAUGUAGAACAGUAACCUGAUGAAUAGCAGUGCUUGCGCUACUUUUUAACGUGCAGGCAUAGCACGAUCGCUAAUCAAAGCAAGAGGUUUGAUACUACUUUUAUUAGGUCAUUUAGCUGUCCCAAAAGACUACAACCUGACAAAGUCAAGCUGAUUUAUGUGUGGCUACUCAGCCUUUGAUAUGAAAAAAAUAAUCAUUCUGAAACUAGAAGUUUGUAGGCAAUCUCCUGCAUACCUGAGAGGCAGCUUAAAUGCUCAGAUUUUUAAUGGAGAGAGAUACAGGUGACCGAUCCAUUGGGAAAUCCAAUUGUUUAUUCUGGUGACUGAAAAUGGGUUUAGCUGUAAGGGUGUGUAAGCUUGGCGGUUUGGGUUGCUGUAUUUGAAUACUAUUGUAACCGGUCCUUACCUGAAUUGAAUGAAGUGAUAAUUCAUUUGUGACCAGGACAACCUUGUUACUGCUUAGAACUGCAACUGAAAUGAUCUCUAGAACAUUUAUCACAGUAUUCAAACUAUCCUAAGACUUUAGCAACAACUAUUGAAGGAUCUUAAAAAAAAAUUAUUUUGUAUUUUUUAAAUACACAAAAAAGAAGUUACUUAUUUACUUGGCCUCCUUCAAUAUUGUGUUGUUUCUUAGUAUUUUAGCUUGCUCUACGUAUUCACCUGUUACAGUACCUUACUGAUCAAAUCCUGUAAUUCUGUAACAGCCAAUUUUAUACUUGCCAGGUGUUUAGAAUGAACAGUUUGUUGAUAAGUCAGAAUUGCAAGCUAAGUUAUUUUCUCAUUUAAACAACAGCAUAAUGAUAUAGUAAACAAAUCUCAUUCCUUUCCUUUUUGUCUGCAAUAUAGAUGGGAACAGUUGUGAUAUAAAGCAUGAUAACCUAAGUAUAAAUCAAGAAAAAUGUGAAAAGAUAAAGGAAAUAAAAUAUUUGUUUUCAUAGAAUGUACUACUCAAAAAAAAAAAAUAAAUAAAAAAAAGGAAAGAAAUGCACCAGUACUUUUUUAUUUGUUACACUUAGAACAGUUCCCUUAGGCGAUGUCUCAAAAGCAAAACAAGGAGUAGAGUUCAGACUAUUCUAAUGAUGCUAAAUAUUUAUAAUAGGAUUUAGUAGAAAACAUAAUAACAAUUUCUGCAGGUUUAUCCUUUGGGAUCAAAUAAUGGAUAGUAACAGACAUUUCCAAAGGACUAUGUAUGUUUGUCAAGAUUUUGUAAGGAGAUUUGUGAGGAAAUGCUCCAUUUUUUGCAGCUGGUAUUAUUGAAUAUUUCCAAAUUAAAUUCAAUACAACUCACGCUAUGUGAUACUGUAAUAUUUAAUGAGUCUUUAAUUAAGUUACUCCAAGGCCAUAUUAAUGUAGAUCUUUAGGACUACAUACAGUUGUGUGUGUUUUUUUAAAUCAGUGAAGCACUGAGCUCUGCAACAACACCUAUGUACUAUAAAGCUUUAUUGUAGAGUUUUGAAAUUAAAUGCAUGAGGCCAAUAGAUCAACUUCAAGUCAUGAUGGGUACAUCAAUUAGAAUGAAUACCUGGGCAUAACUUGAAAUAUUACUAUUUGAAAUGCAAUA